rnacentral:rRNA from 1 species
CCGGUUUAAGCGUGUAGGUGUGUGUUCCAGGUAAAUCCGGUUCACUUUAACACUGAGGCGUGAUGACGAGGCACUACGGUGCUGAAGCAACAAAUGCCCUGCUUCCAGGAAAAGCCUCUAAGCAUCAGGUAACAUCAAAUCGUACCCCAAACCGACACAGGUGGUCAGGUAGAGAAUACCAAGGCGCUUGAGAGAACUCGGGUGAAGGAACUAGGCAAAAUGGUGCCGUAACUUCGGGAGAAGGCACGCUGACACGUAGGUGAAGUGAUUUACUCAUGGAGCUGAAGUCAGUCGAAGAUACCAGCUGGCUGCAACUGUUUAUUAAAAACACAGCACUGUGCAAACACGAAAGUGGACGUAUACGGUGUGACGCCUGCCCGGUGCCGGAAGGUUAAUUGAUGGGGUCAGCGCAAGCGAAGCUCCUGAUCGAAGCCCCGGUAAACGGCGGCCGUAACUAUAACGGUCCUAAGGUAGCGAAAUUCCUUGUCGGGUAAGUUCCGACCUGCACGAAUGGCGUAAUGAUGGCCAGGCUGUCUCCACCCGAGACUCAGUGAAAUUGAACUCGCUGUGAAGAUGCAGUGUACCCGCGGCAAGACGGAAAGACCCCGUGAACCUUUACUAUAGCUUGACACUGAACAUUGAGCCUUGAUGUGUAGGAUAGGUGGGAGGCUUUGAAGUGUGGACGCCAGUCUGCAUGGAGCCGGCCUUGAAAUACCACCCUUUAAUGUUUGAUGUUCUAACGUGGACCCGUGAUCCGGGUUGCGGACAGUGUCUGGUGGGUAGUUUGACUGGGGCGGUCUCCUCCUAAAGAGUAACGGAGGAGCACGAAGGUUGGCUAAUCCUGGUCGGACAUCAGGAGGUUAGUGCAAUGGCAUAAGCCAGCUUGACUGCGAGCGUGACGGCGCGAGCAGGUGCGAAAGCAGGUCAUAGUGAUCCGGUGGUUCUGAAUGGAAGGGCCAUCGCUCAACGGAUAAAAGGUACUCCGGGGAUAACAGGCUGAUACCGCCCAAGAGUUCAUAUCGACGGCGGUGUUUGGCACCUCGAUGUCGGCUCAUCACAUCCUGGGGCUGAAGUAGGUCCCAAGGGUAUGGCUGUUCGCCAUUUAAAGUGGUACGCGAGCUGGGUUUAGAACGUCGUGAGACAGUUCGGUCCCUAUCUGCCGUGGGCGCUGGAGAACUGAGGGGGGCUGCUCCUAGUACGAGAGGACCGGAGUGGACGCAUCACUGGUGUUCGGGUUGUCAUGCCAAUGGCACUGCCCGGUAGCUAAAUGCGGAAGAGAUAAGUGCUGAAAGCAUCUAAGCACGAAACUUGCCCCGAGAUGAGUUCUCCCUGAGACUUUAGGUCUCCUGAAGGAACGUUGAAGACGACGACGUUGAUAGGCCGGGUGUGUAAGCGCAGCGAUGCGUUGAGCUAACCGGUACUAAUGAACCGUGAGGCUUAACCUUACA